AUGAACGCUGGCGGCGUGCCUAAUACAUGCAAGUCGAGCGAACGGACGAGAAGCUUGCUUCUCUGAUGUUAGCGGCGGACGGGUGAGUAACACGUGGAUAACCUACCUAUAAGACUGGGAUAACUUCGGGAAACCGGAGCUAAUACCGGAUAAUAUUUUGAACCGCAUGGUUCAAAAGUGAAAGACGGUCUUGCUGUCACUUAUAGAUGGAUCCGCGCUGCAUUAGCUAGUUGGUAAGGUAACGGCUUACCAAGGCAACGAUGCAUAGCCGACCUGAGAGGGUGAUCGGCCACACUGGAACUGAGACACGGCCCAGACUCCUACGGGAGGCAGCAGUAGGGAAUCUUCCGCAAUGGGCGAAAGCCUGACGGAGCAACGCCGCGUGAGUGAUGAAGGUCUUCGGAUCGUAAAGCUCUGUUAUUAGGGAAGAACAUAUGUGUAAGUAACUGUGCUCAUCUUGACGGUACCUAAUCAGAAAGCCACGGCUAACUACGUG
rnacentral:rRNA from 1 species